rnacentral:rRNA from 1 species
UUCUAAGGGCGUUGAAGCAUGAUCGCAAGGACAUGUGGAGCGCUUAGAAGUGAGAAUGCCGGUGUGAGUAGCGAAAGACGGGUGAGAAUCCCGUCCACCGAUUGACUAAGGUUUCCAGAGGAAGGCUCGUCCGCUCUGGGUUAGUCGGGUCCUAAGCUGAGGCCGACAGGCGUAGGCGAUGGAUAACAGGUUGAUAUUCCUGUACCACCAUUAUUCGUUUUAAGCGAUGGGGGGACGCAGUAGGAUAGGCGAAGCGUGCUGUUGGAGUGCACGUCCAAGCAGUGAGAUUGAGUGUUAGGCAAAUCCGGCACUCUUAAGAUUGAGCUGUGAUGGGGAGAGGAACUUGUUCCUCGAGUCGUUGAUUUCACACUGCCGAGAAAAGCCUCUAGCUAGAAUAACGGUGCCCGUACCGCAAACCGACACAGGUAGUCAAGAUGAGAAUUCUAAGGUGAGCGAGCGAACUCUCGUUAAGGAACUCGGCAAAAUGACCCCGUAACUUCGGGAGAAGGGGUGCUCUUUGAGGUUCACGCUUCGAAGAGCCGCAGUGAAUAGGCCCAAGCGACUGUUUAUCAAAAACACAGGUCUCUGCUAAACCGUAAGGUGACGUAUAGGGGCUGACGCCUGCCCGGUGCUGGAAGGUUAAGAGGAGUGGUU